GUCUCCAGGGCUUUCACUAAAGGUGGCAACAUGAAAGAGAUGGUUUCCAGUGGAUUCAUCUCAGUGGUUUGCUGAACUCCCUCCAGCAACCUGCUCUGAAGUCACCUGAGCUGAAGCCAGCAGAGGACUCUUGACCUAUGUCCAAGGGCUGUUGAGCUCAGCUCAGGGAAUUGUCCAUCCUGACUGCCAGAGACCAUCCAGUGAUGCCUCCACUCCUCUCAGGAAUGUCUCCCUGCAACAGUCUUAAGGAGGCCUGUCUGUGCAGACCAUCCACAAAGGAAACUUCCAGUUAGUACAAUACCUCAGAAAGAAAACAAUGUCCCACUGCUUAUUCACAAACAAAAGAGAACUUCUCUAGGAGCCUUCCUUUGUCCGACUAAUGCAAGUCCCUGGAGUCAGUGUCACCAUGGGGGUCCUUGCGGUUGCCCCUUCAGCGACUGACCUGACUGAGGGGAAAUGAAGAAAAGACUAAUGAACUCCAGGAUCUGGUGGGCCUGCCUCUCUCAUACAUAAAGAAGCUGAGUGUGUUUACAGAGUUGAACAGAGAGAUGAGGUUGCUGCUGGCUGUUGAGGAACAGGUCAUGUACUCCUCAAAAGAAGAAUUUUUUAAAGAAAACUCUGGCCCACCUUUAUCUCUAAUGGCCCAGCUGGGAGUUGCUAUAAUAAUCCUUUUGCUUUUAUGUGGCCAUCUGGAGGCCUAUUAAAAACAGUA